rnacentral:tRNA from 1 species
GCCCCUAUCGUCUAGCGGCUAGGACAGCGGCUUCUCAAGCCGUUAACCGGGGUUCGAUUCCCCGUGGGGGCACCA